GAUGAACGCUAGCUACAGGCUUAACACAUGCAAGUCGAGGGGAAACGGCAUCGAAAGCUUGCUUUUGAUGGGCGUCGACCGGCGCACGGGUGAGUAACGCGUAUCCAACCUGCCCAUCACUUGGGAAUAACCUUGCGAAAGUAAGACUAAUGCCCAAUGACAUCCCACGAAGGCAUCCGAAUGGGAUUAAAGAUUUAUCGGUGAUGGAUGGGGAUGCGUCUGAUUAGCUUGUUGGCGGGGUGACGGCCCACCAAGGCACCGAUCAGUAGGGGUUCUGAGAGGAAGGUCCCCCACAUUGGAACUGAGACACGGUCCAAACUCCUACGGGAGGCAGCAGUGAGGAAUAUUGGUCAAUGGGCGAGAGCCUAAACCAGCCAAGUAGCGUGCAGGAUGACUGCGCUAUGAGUUGUAAACUGCUUUUAUAAGGGAAUAAAGUGGGUCACGUGUGACUUAUUGCAUGUACCUUAUGAAUAAGGACCGGCUAAUUCCGUG
rnacentral:rRNA from 1 species